ACCGGAAUAGCUUGGGAAUCCCAGACAGAGGUCUGGCUCCUUUGGUAGGGUCGUAGUAGCUUUUCAGGCUCUUCCAGCCACUUUUAGUAGAUGUCUAUACCCAGACAUGAUUUGCUUCCGCUUGUUGUUUGUAUGACUAGAGUGUCGGGUCACGAGACCCCUGUUUGUAAUAUCAUACUAUGUUGACUCUUAUGAGUCUUUAAUGAAUGCUUGAG
rnacentral:lncRNA from 1 species